GACGAACGCUGGCGGCGUGCUUAACACAUGCAAGUCGAACGAUGAAGCUGGAGCUUGCUCCGGUGGAUUAGUGGCGAACGGGUGAGUAACACGUGAGCAAUCUGCCCUUGACUCUGGGAUAACUGCGGGAAACUGUAGCUAAUACCGGAUAUGAGGCUAGAAGGCAUCUUCGGGUCUGGAAAGAAUUUCGGUCAAGGAUGAGCUCGCGGCCCAUCAGCUUGUUGGUGAGGUAAUGGCUCACCAAGGCGACGACGGGUAGCCGGCCUGAGAGGGUGACCGGCCACACUGGGACUGAGACACGGCCCAGACUCCUACGGGAGGCAGCAGUGGGGAAUAUUGCACAAUGGGCGAAAGCCUGAUGCAGCAACGCCGCGUGAGGGAUGAAGGCCUUCGGGUUGUAAACCUCUUUUAGCAGGGAAGAAGCGAAAGUGACGGUACCUGCGGAAAAAGCACCGGCUAACUACGUGCCAGCCGCCGCAGUAA
rnacentral:rRNA from 1 species